AGUGCGGCGGCGGGCGCCGGCCCCGGCGCCGUGGGCGGGACGAGGCCGCGGCUGAACUACGACUCCCGGCAUGCCCCGCGCCGCCGCGGCCAGGCGGCGUCGGCGCACUGCGCUCCCCGGAGACGGCUGAGCGUUUCGGCGGCCGCCGGGAACUUGCCGACUCUUAACGUCGCGGGAGCGGAGAGACCGCCACCCGGCUCGGCGCCUCCGGCGCGGAGACCGCGCGAGCCCCGCUACCGCGGCCGCCGCGCACAGGGCCGCAAGGAACGGGGCGCCGAGCGACGCGGUGCGGCAACUUGUUUAUCUCGGCAGCUGCCACUCAACGCUCGGCUCCACCCCCCGCGCGAUGCCGCCCCCUGAUUGGCCACCACGGCCCCGCCCCCGCGGCCCCGCAGCGGCUCCCGCCGCCGAGCCCGGCCCGGGCCGCGGGCGUUGUGCUGCGGGGCGGGGCCCGGCGCCUCCAGCCCCGAGCUCCGGGGGAGGCCGCUGGUUGGGCAGCGGCGGGGACCGCGAGCGGGCGGGGCGAGGCGCGGCGCGGCCGGGGCUGCGACGGGGUUUGGCACGGAGAGAGUCGGAGAUCGGUGUUUGAAGCGCGGAUUUUCCACGGUCGUUCUUUAUACCAAGAAUCACACGGACGGUGUUCAGCGUUCACCUGAGAAUGCUGACUCCGUCCUGUCCGUCGGUGGGGCCUGGUGGUUAGAUGCCCUCACACCAAGCCUUGUCCCUUCAGCCCUAAGCGUUGGAGAUGUUUAGACGGAUGUGAUGAUGCUGACGGGUUCACCUGUACAGAUACAGAUACACAGUGAGGCCUUUUAAAAUUACAUUCCAACCAAUCGCUCCGUGAUUUCUUUGUGCCAAACUGUGCUCCCCACAAGCUCGCAGCGCUGCAGAAGCGCUCCAGGGACACAACCUCAGCCCAAGGCUAUGCCGCGACAGGAGCAGUGACAGCCCUGCCUGCUCCGCCUCACCUCAUGGCAACGAGCGGCACCGGGCAAAGUCAGAGGAGAAAGGCGGGAAAAGCACCGCCCGCCCAGCAGCUACCUGCAGUGCUGGCGGGGGGAGCGGGCCGGCUGCUGUGCCCCGUGACAGAGCUGUGGGAGGGCCCCCCCGACAGAGCAUGAUCCGUCACGGUUCCUGACCCAUAGGCUGUACCCAAGCAGGAGUACGGCCGUGCGACAUGGUCAGCUCUUCCAGAAGGCCCCCUGUGCACGUCUCUGACCACCAGAGCUCUCACAGAAGGACGGCUCCUUUACCAACAUAGUGUUUCCCACAGAACCACAAGUACUGUUAGGUUUUUUUUUUUUCUGCAGCUGCAGAUACGGAUCUUCCUGAACAACGCUCAAUCGCGAGCUGGCAAUCUUCCUAAAUGCCGUAGUGACCAUUUAUCUUUCAACGUCAGCGUUACAGACGUUUGCUAAAAUUAGAGCUAACCAUCUACCUUUUGCAAAGCACUCACAUCUUUAGUCACCUAGUCAUCAAAUCCAGCACUGAAAAGAGGGGACAUAGGCUCGCAAAGACAAACGUGUCGCUGCCUCAGAGGGGUGUACUGUUGGUAAAAAUAAACUCCACAAGUUCCUGUUGCUCACUUUGACCAAAAUAAUAAUUGUUUUUUCCCAUUCUCGUCACGGAUGCUGUUGUUUUCUGCAUGACAGGUCUGAUUUUCCUGUAAUUUGCUGUGUGUCAGCAGCCCUGGUUGGAGAGGGUGACAGUGCACCAGGUAUGGAGGCUCAGCCUGGCUGGCAGCUGUGAGCCUAGGCAGAUCAGUUCCUCUCCACCCCACAGCACACCCAGCUCCUCAGUGUUGCAAAUGGCUGUUUUAUCCUUCCAUAAACUGAUCGUGCUCUGGCAGUAAACACUUUGCCCCUCACUGCUGCUGCUGGGAGGCUGUCCGACAGAAACCUUUCUCACGGGGAAGCCUUUUUUUAACCUUCAAACCUGCAUUUCCUUGAGACUUGUCUACAUCCAUCUUCCCAUGGAAAUACUGCCCUAAAGUAGCCUUUCUUUCCCUCCUGUGUGUAUCCCCUGCCAGAAUUAUUUAUAGACAGCAAUCUCAUCCCCUCGCACCCUUUAUUUUGCUGGACUCAACAAGCCAUGCCCUUCUCAUUCCCCUAAUUAGCUCCCUACUCUCCCUUCUUUUGAUCAUCUUAUGAUAUUUGCAAAUCCCGUAAAGGAGAAUUUUUGUAUAACAUCUCAAGUAGCAAAUGUGCCAUUACUCCUUAAAUGUAUGAUUCAUUUAAAUCAUAGAUGACUUUAUGAAUUCACAGUUAAAUAAAAUACUUUUUUUUUUUUUUCAUUGAACAGUUCAUUUUCACUUACUUUGCCCUUGGGAGGUUUGUGACUGUUUAAUAAUAACACAUAAUGGGACCCUCUCUGAUCACUGUAGCAAAAAUGGAGGUUUGGCUGAUACCAAGCUAGUUAUGUGAAUAGCAAAAUGUUAUCGGUGCUCCUGUUCCUUCUCUCAUGAAAGGUAGCCUUGCUUUCAAUUUUUUAAGCCUUACAUUGACCACAGAAUCAGCUAAGCAGAUCCAAGUUUAGGCCAGCUCAGAGUCCAGUAAGAACAAGAUUACCUUCUCAUUUGAAGACUGCAGAAGUUUCAUCAAUUUGCGGCUAGAACGUGAGGAUAAGCACAUUUGUUUCAUCUUGCAAUUGGAGCACAUAGCAGGAUUCUGCUUCAAAUUCUUAUUGUAUUUUUUCCUACUUGGAGAAUCUCUGAUUUCUGAACUGCCCUUUGGCAGCAAUCCUUUUCUGAGAGAUUGCAUUCCUGUGCAAACGGCUGCUUCUUCAGAAGGGUUUCCUACCAUUCUUGAAUAUUGUAUUAUUGUGUUAUCCAUGUCUGUUCAGAACAGAAAUUAAUGUAAUUUUUUAGAUACGUAAUGCCCUAUCCUUUGCUAACUGUGCUGAUAAAGAAAUUCUGAAAAGUACCACCAAAGAAAAUAGAAAAUGACAGGUUUGCAAGCUUCUAGGGUGAUGUUUCUCAGACUGACAGCCUAACUGGAGAUGAGGGGUUGUUGCUCGUUAACAUCACCAUUUCUCCACAAGUUUUGAUGGUUACAUAGUGUCCAGACUAUAGGAAAGGAAAAGUGUUUCAAGCAAGACUGAAAGUUGAGGAACCGAAUAUUCUCACCAAUUCUCUAUUCUAAUUCUCCUAGAGAGAUAAAGCAUGAAUUCCUAGUGAAAAUAAGGAUUUGGUCUUUUAACAUUUUCACAUCAAGAAAUGGCACAGACCAUUUUUUUUUUCUUUCCUUUGCACAUAAAAUACAGUGUUUAAUUUUCUUUCCAGCCUGUCUUCACUUCACUUCCUGUCUUGAUAAGUUGUAUGCUCUGCCUUAGCCAAUCUCUUACUCUUUUCUCUUUGAGUAUUGGUGAGAUCAAAAAAAAAUAGUGUUUGUUUUCUGUGAAUGUUUUAGGCCACAUCUGGAAGAAGUUGCACCACUCUCCUUGAAAGUCUUUACUUGUUAAUGCAGUGGGAAAUAUUGGAUUCUUAGGGAUCAGAGACAGCAUAUGUCCAGUAGAUCUUGAGUGGGGCAUUAAUAAACCUAUACAGCGUUUACUUACAUCUGUCACAUUUGAGUUGAUGGUGCUUCUCACACAUCUCAGAAGUCCAAGGAAAUUUGAGAAAAUUCAGAAUAGCAGUCUCACACGAACUGCACUGCUAUCUCUACAGAAGCAGAGCAAAACUCAUAGUUCUGUUCCAAAAAGUGUAGGCACUUACUAGGAAUUUUUAAACACAUCAGUAUGAGGGCUUCAUGAAAGUGGGCAGCGCAUCAGAUGAUUUGUAAUCCAUGUAGCUGGGAACGUCUUUACCUGGCUGUAAGUUCAGACAUUUUCAUUCUAGGUAAAGCUCUACAUUUUGGAACCUUUUCUGUUGGUUAACUUCAAAACACCUAUAAUAGAUGUAUGAACUUUAUUAACUUAGAAAAUGAAGUACCUAAUUAAGGUGCACUAUCAAGAUUUUACAAUAAAUCUAGAGAGCAUGCUAGGAAUGGAAGAUGGGAGUCCUGAAUUCUGCUACCAUUAUAUAAUUAAUUGGCUAGCUCUAUGUUUUUAAAAUUCAUUUUUUUACAGUACCACAAUCCAAAUACUACUAAAAUAGAAACCGUGUGCUGCUUUUCUUGAAUAUAAUCCAAGAAACUGGUCUCAAAAUAGGCAGUACUUCUUUUAACCAUCGUUGAAUUCUUCCUGAGAAAAAGAAAACUCUCACCAAAGUCACAAAACCCAUCCCCUACCUUCUCUUUGCAGACUAAAUCCAGCAAAGUAAAAGCAAAAUAAUUCCUCACUGCAUGAUGUGCCACAGUUCGUCGUUGUACAAUUACAACCCAGCCUUACCACUGACCUACCAGCGUUGUCACAAGUACAGGAGUCCAGAGGAAACUACCAGCUCAAGAAGGCGUUGCUACUCAGCCUGCUAGGAACUGCGAAGAUGCUGUGGUAUGAGAAACCAGCAAUGUGAGAGCUGAUUCCAUCCUGCCUGUGAGUGAUUUUGAGCUUUGUGAAGCUGUGGUGGAACUAUUCUAAGGAAAACCAGAGAACUCCUACGUUGAGAGCCCCGAUCUGUUACUGAAGUUCUGUUUUCCUUUCUUCCUCUCUAAUUUUAUUAUUACUAACUCCAUUCGUGCCUCAGUGGCAAAAUCCUAAAUUAUCUGUGUGCCAGAGCUGUAUUUACAGCCAAAUAGGAAAUGACAGAAUUGGCUGCUGGCUCACUACACUGAAAAAGUUGAGCAACUCUGAAUUUUAAAAGAAAUCCAGAUGGUCUCAUGAGAGCAGGAGCCAGGAGUGCCAUUGCCAUGCGUUCUUUCAUUUCGGUGGGGAUCGGAUUCUCUGUCUGCAACACAAGGCAGUGUAUUUCUCCAUCAUUAGGAAAACUUUUGGAUUAAAGUGUUACUCAAACUAACACUUAGCUUUACUAGCUGUGUCCAUCCACCAGUAAAUAAUUCCUAUCUGCCUGAAGAAAAAAAAAAAAACCACUGACCAAAAUCUUUUUACAAAAUUAAGACAAUCAAACACAUUGAGCUCAUGCACUGAGACUGAAGUACUUUCAAUGGCCUUAGUGAUGUUUAUUUAACAUAUAAAGCACGUUGGUUCCCUGUAUCCCAUGAGAGCGUCUGGCCGGGGUGGAGUCAGUUUUCUUCAUUGCAGCCCACCCAGUGCUGUGCUUCAGAUUUGUGAUGAAAACAGCCUGAUAACAAAGUUAGUUCUUGCUGAGCAGUGCUAGCACAGCAUCAAGGCAUCCUCUGUUUCCUACUCUGCCCCCACUGUGAGUGGGCUGAUCCAAAGCAUCCAAAGAGAUACUCCAUACUGAAUAGUAUUGUGAUCGGCACUGUAAAACUGAGGGGGAAGUUUUUGCAAAGUAGGCAUUGGUCAGACUCUCUGGGCAUCGGUCUGCUUGUGGGAAGUGAUCAGAGAGUGCCUUUGCAUCACUUGGCUUCAUUCUGUACAGCCACACUCAGAAUCCAUGAGAGUCCUGCACCAACUCUGGGACUCCUGACUAACAGUAGGAUUUGGGGUUCUAUGGUUGUAUGAGCUUUUCAGGGCUAUUCGAAAGCAAAAACCAUGGGAAAGGUUUUUGUUGGUUUUAUUUGUUUGUUUCUUGUUGAUGUUUGGUUGGUUUUGCUUUUUUAUUUAAUUAUGUUUGUUUUUCUGAGAGUGGAGGAACUGAAGUUUUAAGGAGUGAAAUUCAUACACCGAGUUUCUAUUAAUGAGCUUCAGUUAACAGAUCCAUGCUUACCCCAAAGUCUAUUCAUUGUUACCAUUGCAAAACUCAUUAUUCAUAUUUCAGUUCUUGUGUCUAUAAAGCAGGAAAAACAGACAUCCCUAAUAGGACUAUGGGAAAUCUAGUUGAUGACCUUGGAGAGAAAGCUCAAAGCUCUAAGUAUUAACCACUAUUUUAUUGUUAUUACUUAAUUAAGCCAAAAUGAUCGUUGCAAGCACAAGCAGGACUUUCUUCAUAUAACCUACUAAGUCCUUCACUUACAAUGGAUUCUUUGGUAUAAGGCAGAGCCGUAGGAACCCUGAGUUAAAUAUGCUUGCUAUAGAAGCAAGCAUACUUGACACAGAAAUUAUUGUGAUAGCUGUGGUAACAUAAACUGUAACAGUAGACUAGUAUCAAGCUACCAAACUAUUCAGAUGGGAGGUCAUGAAUAUUGCAUGUAUUGAACUGGAUACUUGUGGAAAAGAGAAAUUAAUGUAAAUAAUUAUUUUCAAGGGGUGAUCAUUGUGCCAGCUACAUUAAGCAUUCUUUGUGGUGCUGAGCCCAUUCGGUCUGUUUAAUUUUGUUGUGCUGCUUUUGGCUCGGGUCAUUCCCAUUCAAGUUGUGCUGUCAGGAAGUGGCAGAAAUGAAGCUCUGGCUCCUUUGGGUCCACGUCCCCCUUUUUGUCCCUUCCCUGUGCCACAGCUCGGGCCCUCUGUCCAUCAUCCGUCUGCCCUUCCUCCAGUGUCCCAGCUCCCUCCUCCCCAUGCCAGCUGCCAGCUGGGUGACACCAGCGGGAAGUGGUUGCUUUUGAGCUGGGCAUGUAGUAGCUGGCAGAAAACUAAGUAGAAUAAACAACCUCUGAGCUCAGGCAGCAGCCUUUCAGUCACUGUAAGAAUCUGAAGGAAAUGAUCUCUCCUUUACUGAGCUGUUAACAUUUCACAAAACCUGAAAAAAAUUCAGAGCCCAUCGUUUUCUGUUUCUGCAUCAAACGUAACUGAUAUAAACUCGUGGGCUCAAAAGUUAUUAAAGAUGGUCUGGCAAGAUUGGUAAGCAAACAGUAUUACCACCUAAACCCUGUUUCCUUAAGUCCUCGAGAAAUACCGUUUGAUGUUAUGAUAACAUAACAAACAAUAAGAUUUGAAGGCAGAUCUUAAGGGAGAUCGCCAAAACCAUUUAGUGGUGUCACAGCUGCAAAACUAUCAUUGCUUUGAUUUAUCAGGAUUAGCACAUAAUUUAGAAGGGACCAGGAUGACGUAUCACGAGCCAGAACUUGAGUCUUAAUUAAAUGCCUCUGCUCCAGCAGUCAGACAGCAUUUCCCAAACAUAUAAAAUUGUAUUUUGUUGUCAAAACUUGAGACUUCUUGUUUGGGAAUAGAAAAAGUUAACCAAAGGUCGGUACUGUACAGCCCUAAUGAAUGAGAGAUUUUCAUUGCCUUUAGAGCUUCCUGCCUAUGAAAGGUGGUUCGCUUGAAUAUCCACAGAUGAGAAUCACAUGUCACGUAUGGGUGUAUUUUCUGCCUUUAUUAAGUGCAUUCUUCUUCCACAUUGCCAACAUCCCGGACUUUAUCUGACUUAAGUGCAGGUACAGAAAGAUCCAGUUCUGGCACAGAGCAGCUAACAGAUGGUACCUGUUCUAAAGUAUGGCAAAAUUGAAUGCUUUCUUUCAUAACAUUUUUUCCCAUGGUAUCACUUAAAAAUUGAUACCACAUGUCAUCCUUAGCCCUCCCAGAACACGUUAAAAAUGAGGGGUAAAAAAGCCAAGCAUCGAAUUCACCUUGAUAUGACUUUGAUGGAAUUAAGACAAAGAGAUGAGCUGAACUCAGUGGCAUUACAAAUCAAUUUAUUUCUCUCUGUCAGUAAUUCAGUUUUCAUUGAAAGUGUGCCAGGUCACUGACAUGGUAGAUGAAGCAAUCUGUUGUCAAAAAGUUGUCUAAGAGGAAGUUAAUGUCUGAAAGCAGUGUGGUGGUUAUAUCAAUUAUGGACAAACUGGAAACAGAGGAGUAAAUUUGAUAAAGUACUGAUGAGCAAACAAUAUGCAGUGAGUGUAGCUUGCACUGAUCAGGGAACUGCGCACAUAAUACACUUGCACAGAGAAAUGAGGUAAUAGACAAGUUCUGCACAUCUACAUGAAAACAUAGAUGAAAGAUGGAGGAAAGCCCCAGAGCAUGGGGAAUUUCAUUUCGCAGUUCAAUCUGGUCAUGCAUAAAGUAGAUAUAAGUGCUGUGCUGUGACUGCUGCAGAGCUUUCAGUAGAUCCCGUAAAAUCCCCUCCAGAAACUCCUUCCUACAUACAGAAGCUAUAUGGAAUGAAUUCAAGUGAUAUUAACUAAACAAGUUCAAUUUUUGUGUGUGUGUAGUUCCUUUCCUACUGACUUAAAACUGUUUUCAUCUGUUUAUUUUAUGACUAUACCUUUAGGCCAUAGGCACAAAUUAAGGUAGUUAAAAGUUAUUCCAUUCAGAGAUGUUACUGCUCCCUAACUCAUCAUUGACCUUCUGCAAAAGGCCACUUACCCCUCAGCUCUGCCAGCCUGCUCCAAAACGUGCCAGUUGGUGUCACCAAGGCCAGCAAGCAGCUUCCAAUGAAGUAGCCAAGGGGGCAAGCCAAGGGGCUCUGACACAACACCUGCCACGGUCACCUGCUGCCAGGGGAUGGCAAGCUGCAGGGUGUGUGAUGUCUUCAUCUGCUCCAUCCGUGUUGGGAGCAGCAACCUACUGCCCUGCUGACAGCUAAACCAGUACAAACAGAUCUAAACCACGCUAAAACCUUGUCUACACACAGCUUUGUGCGUACAUUGCUACACCCGUUUGGAAAUCAAUACAGCUGACCAGGUAAACUCUUCCUGCAAACUUACUUAUGGCACUCUGAAGUUGUUUUUCUACUGAUGUGAUAUUCCUAUAAAUGUGGCUCUAAUACAAUGUUAUUUUAUCAUAUUCUAUAUCAGGACGUCACGUUGCAUUCUAAGCCAAUGUGGAAGCACAAAAGAGGAUGAGUACCUUACCUUUAUCUACAUCUUUUGUUUAUCUUAUAAGACAUUUUUAGUUUAAUCUCAUCUUAAGUUAUACAUAAUGCAAACCAGUACCACCUGUAAGUAGUUCUAGGAGGCCUUUGUUACCCAAACGCAGUGAAAGGAAGAGCAGGAAAGCUGCAGAGCCCCACAGCUGGGAAGGGGAUGCACAUCCCCUGCUGCCCUGUGCCAAGUGGCACACAGCACACUGAACUGAGGGGUGCUGAGAGCCCCCGGGAUGUCUGAGUCUCUCAAGUGCCCUGUGAUGGCACUGAGCAGACACAACUUGAAACCAAGCAAACCAAGCAGGAAAAAAAAAAGGAUCCAUGUACCAUCUGCGCAGUUCUGUAUGGUAGUAGGGGUCAGCUCUUCCCUUUUGGCGUCUAUGAAUCAUGGAGCCUUGGGAGCUUCCUGCAGAAGGGAACAAGCUGCAGAGCUCUACACACACAGCAAGCCUGGGGAAACCAUACUUAAAGCCAAGCAAUGUUUAUUCAAGCCCUUGGCAGAGCCCGUGGCCACGUGGUAGGCGAGUAAUAUCGUUCUGCAACUCAAGUUUAGCAGAGUAUGAGAACUGCUCAACAGCUUUUGCAAGGGCUGUCAGAGACUUCGGGAAUGGCUUGAUACUGGGCUAAAGCUCCACCUAGGCACUCCACACGCCUUAGGAAUUCCAACAAUUUGCAGCUCUCUGAUCCCGGUAGGAGGUUCUUUCUUUGUAAUCUCCUAACAAAUCAAACACAAUCAUUUUAUUCUGCAUGAAAAUAGCAAACUCGGGUAUCUUUCUGAGUCAGAGGAUUUAAAGUUCAAGUCAUUCUGAAAGCCUCGCUCUAAUUAAGAGAAGAAAGAAAGAGCCUGCUUGGCACCCAGCAAAUGCACGCAAGAAGCUUAAUUUCUUGAUUUAAAUAAUAUAGAUGCAGCAUUAUUUUUUUAGGUAAGACAUAAGAAAGAUCAAACACAAAGAUAGAAAUCUAUCUGCUUUUUCUAGCCAAGGUUCAGUUUACAAGAAAAAAAAAAAAAAAAGCAUGUUGGCAGAUGGGUACCAAAAGCAGUGGCACGAGCUGAUAUCCUGCUAACACUGGCAGAGUGUGUGAGGGUAUCCCAGAGGAGAGACAAAGUCUGGGGCUGCACACUGACGGCCACCACAGUUACUUAAUAUAGGAUUGCUUUGUCCAUGCUGGAGUUAAUGGGAUUGCCACUGCCCUUUCCUGUUUUUCCUUUAGAACAACCUUGCAUAACAGAGAAGUUUGAUAGGAAGCAUACACGUCUUCCCAGCUCAGAAAUCAGAAACGCGAGAGGGGGACUCUGAAGACAGACAGCCCCUAAGCAAAGAACCAGCACUGAUCAGUUUCAAGGCAAAACAAAGUGUGACAUACCCCGUGCCUCGGAAGAGGUUUGACAAAACUUCUCUGUACUUUCCACGCAGCAGCACAGCUGGAGCUGGGCGCACAGGGUUGGCGCACUGCAGGAGAUGGCACUGCCCAUGAAGCGCUACACAGAGAACAGCCCGCACCACCCUGCUUGUUGAUAGAGAACCAGGGAGUGGUGCAUCCCUUUGUUCCAAACAGAUGACUUCAGCUCCGGGCACGGGAUGCUUGGCACAUCUCUCACCGCCCUGACUUCCCACAGAUAACAUGUGGCCUGCGCGAUACCAGCCCCUGCACCGUCUCUUGAACAGAAGUGGAUGCCUAUCUGCCACUGCUGCUGCGUUUGUACAGAAAAGCAGGAACUCUCUUGUCCAAGGAGUGUCCCCGAGAGAUAUAAAUACUCUGCAGGUGUUUGCAUAGUCUUACAGUACGUGCGCACUGAGAUGGUACGGAUAGAUACGAGCCCCAGAAGAGCUGAACAAACCCCAUGUUCAGAGAGAUCAAUUGAUACAAAAGCUUUGCUAUCCCUCAAAAUAAGUCCUGAUGGAGACAGGGUUUGGCAGGAAGAUAAUCUGCCAUUCAGCUGAUAGACAUAAGGUGUAUGGGAGUCAGCUGUGACUUCCAGAAAUUUAGCAUGAAAUCGAUGCCGGUGUUUUCCAUUCUGUGCACUUGUGUCAUUUAAAGAAAAUCAAUAUAUCUACAGAUUGCCUCACAUAUAGCAGCACUAUAAGGAACCAGGUGUUGGAAACAAAAUGUUAAGCCACCCAAAGCCGCUGCAGUUAAUCAUAUUUAACACCUGACUAAACCGGGCUCACCCAGAGCUUUGGGGAGGGUUGGGAACAACCACUGUUGACCGAGUAAUUCUGCUGUACUACCUGAGUGCCUGUCAAUACCUGCAGCUUCUACUAAAGCUGUAUGGAACUGUAAAAGCUAAGGGCCCGGUACAAGUACAGGACAUUUUGUGCUUUCCAUUUCUCUGUUCAAUCACUGAUACAGCAUAUCUUAGGAGGGACUACUGUUACUUUUUUCUACGACCCUCAGACAGACUGACUAUCGAUCAUAAAGCUAUUUACUUUUAAUGAAUAGAUCAUUAUGAAUAUCAUACGAGAGAAAAUUGCAGAGAUUAUGCUCUGCUGGUCAACCUCCAUAGCGACGCCAUAGCACUGAGUUGCUUUGUGUUUAUUCCCUUUACAAUGAAAGUGCACAUACAGUUUGCUUCAAACUGAUGAAGAAAACUUCAGCUUCUGUGUUGCCUGAAUAACAUAACCUACCUGAACAACUCUCACCUGAAGAGGUACAAGAAAAGCUCUGAAGAGCUACAUCAAGAGCAGCGCUAAGGCAGGGCAGGCACCAGUGUGGGAGUGCUUUGAAACAGAGUGGGACUACGGGAAGAUUCCUGGAGAGACAAGAUGAGGACAGCAACAAAGGAGAAAGGAACUUGAGGAUCUCCUGUAUCAUUUUACUUUAAUGCUUGAACUUGACUUUUUUCUCUCAGAAGGACUGCCUUUACUUUUUCUGUGGCUUAGCAUAACAGAAACAGACUGUUAAUAAUAAUAGCUGGCUUCUCUUUGGCUUUCAGUCAAGGGAAAGUAUCUGAUUAUAUCAGAAAAACUUGUCCUUUGUAUCCUCCUGGAUCCUUACUGAUCCCUUCCCAUACCCGAGUUCUCCAAAUUUUCUGAUUUUCACACGGUGCAGGUAUGCCCUUGGGUACCUGUGCCUUUUGUCACUGCACUAACACUGACUCCACUGUUCCAGUACUCAUCGUCCUAAGACUUCUCGGGCAGUCCCUGGCAAUUUAACACCCAUCCCUGCAGCAAUACCACUACCCAGAGCAAGCUGUCUGGAAGGAAACAGACCCUCUGUCUGAUAUCUGGAAGACUUUCAUGAAGGAAAAAUUGUUAAAAGAAUUUCCAAAAUCUUCCUCCUUCCUGUUACCGAGUAAAAUGUAACCAUCUCCCUUUUGACAGAUGGUCCUAGAAAAACAUGGCCUCCGUAAUUGCUUAAAGGUUGACACAGACCAAGGGGAAAGAUGAGUUAAAUGGGAUGAUGUGCAUCCAGAGCUUCUUUAUCCCACAGGGAAUGCUGAGAAGCCUGCACAGCAGAGGGACAACAGCGUGGGGAGAUCACAGACAACGUCACGUUGCUGAAAAACAACAUGCUUCUAGAAAAAAAACAGAAAGGCAAGUAGGUGCAUCUGUUAUCAAUCAGCCCUCAACAACUUUAGGAGUCAUGGAGCAAAAGAAGCAAGCCUUCCCUCAGGCUCAAAUUCCUCCUUGGAAUUUCUCAGAUUUUCUUGUCUGCAGAGCUGUGUUUCCUCCUCCACCCUGCAAACAGCAGCUACUGCCACUGCACUGAGUGCACAUACACUCAUGUUAAAAACAAUCCAAACCCAGAAGUUUCCUUAAGUGUAAAAAUAGGUUUGCUUUUUAAUUCCAGUGCUGAUCAAAUAGCAAAAGUUUCUGUAAAAACCACAUCAUUUAGAGUAUGUACAGGACUCGUGUCAUUAGGUCACUGCAUUCUGCUCCCUCCUCACUCCCAGCUGCACCAGGUACCCAUAUAACCCUGACUCCCACUCCAGGCAGCCAGCUUGGGGGAGCACAUAUUACAGACUGCAGUUUUUAGUGGAUAUUCAGUCUCAGAACCAGAAUAGAAACAGUCCUAAAGUAAGGAACCCUGAAAUUCACACGGUCUGGAUACUGGGUCACCAGAACCAGCUAUUUUACUCUGCUCAUCCAUUCCCACAGACACACAUUAUGGUCAUGUGUAUAACCACAAGUGGAGGACCUCCAGCGGUGCCCUAUGUCAGUGCUGUGUGUUGUCCUCUUUGCUUCCCAGGUAUGUUCUUGUGCUCCUGGAUAUUCCCAAACCGACCUUCAGUCUACAGACUCUGACCUCAAACUGAGGAGAAUUCAGUAAUGAGUGUAGUUAAUUUGAAACUGCCUAUUUUUUCUUAAGUCAAUAAUGGGAAAACCAACUGUCAGCAGAACCCUCCUGAGAACACAGUCCUACAGGGAUCUAAUGUUUCCCUCAACAAAACAAUGCUAUAGCAACUAGCCUGAUGCGUGCCUGCUCAAGCUGCCAACCUACUGCCACGCUUUCCCCAGUGCUUAAAGCAGCCUUCAUACAAACUGAACUACAAGUAUGCAGCAGUUACAGCAGCAUGCUUACCUCACUGAGAAUAGGCUUAAUAGGAUGUGUUGCUUUUCCAGUUUUAGGUAAGCCAUCCAAAGUCCCCUCGCAUUUGCUGAAACAAGUGUUGAAUCUCUCUUUUUUGGUUCCUGAAUUUGGGAAAGGAAGGCUAAGAUCUACAGUCUGUGCUUCAAUAAGAAAAUGGGCAAAGAAAAACGUUUCCUUUAAGUAUUGUAUGUCUCGCUUGAUCAGUCAGGAGUUUACACUGUGGACAGAUAUACCUAUCUGUACUCAGAGGAUGCAAACUCAGGAUGUGUCCCAUCUAUUUCCCUACCACAGUCUCAGCAUUCUCUGCUUCAGAUUCCUCCAUUCCUCAGGCACCACCCUGAUUCAUAAUCUCAGGAAAGGAGAUAAUAAUGAUCUUGCAGACCUGCAUGAUGACUGACUUUGCUGUGGAUUUUCCAGCCCAAUUGAUUGCCCACCUUCUGGCAGUUCAGUUCUCUGCUCACCCUUCCCAGACUGGCCACAGAGUUUCAGCACCUCCCUUAUGCCCACUCACCCAUGUUUUUAACUUUUGGUGAGCCCUUCACAAGAAGCUACCAAAGUCUCCAGCA